ACGGGUGAGUAACGCGUAGGUGACCUACCCUCGGGUUUGGGAUAACAGUGCGAAAGCGCUGCUAAUACCGGAUGAGACUUUAUUGUGAGAGCAAUAAAGUGAAAGUCGGCCUCUCGAAGAAGCUGAUGCUCGAGGAUGGGCCUGCGUCCUAUCAGCUAGUUGGUGAGGUAACGGCUCACCAAGGCGACGACGGGUAGCUGGUCUGAGAGGAUGAUCAGCCACACUGGCACUGGAACACGGGCCAGACUCCUACGGGAGGCAGCAGUGAGGAAUUUUGCGCAAUGGCCGCAAGGCUGACGCAGCAACGCCGCGUGGGUGAUGAAGGCCUUCGGGUCGUAAAGCCCUGUCAGGUGGGAAGAAAGGCUUGGAGUCGAAUAGGCUUUGAGUUUGACGGUACCACCAGAGGAAGCACCGGCUAACUCCGUGCCAGCAGCCGCGGUAAUACGGAGGGUGCGAGCGUUAUUCGGAAUUACUGGGCGUAAAGCGCGUGCAGGCGGGAAGACAAGUCUGAUGUGAAAGCCCGGGGCUUAACCUCGGAAGUGCAUUGGAAACUGUUUUUCUUGAGUACUGGAGAGGAAGGG
rnacentral:rRNA from 1 species